rnacentral:rRNA from 1 species
AGCUCCAAUAGCGUAUACUAAAGUUGUUGCAGUUAAAAAGCUCGUAGUUGGAUCUUGGAAUCUAAGAGUGACUGGUACAGGGCGGAUGCCUUGUUACUGUCAUUCUUGAUUCUUUUUUUGAUGGUAAUCUAUCAAGCCAUUCAUUUGGUUUGUUUUAUUAGGUUCCAUCUCAUUUACUUUGAAUAAAUUAGAGUGUUUAAAGCAGGCGAUUUCUUGCCUUGUAUACAUUAGCAUGGGAUAAUAGAAUAGGACUUUGGUUCUGUUUUUCAUGAGUUUCCCCCUCGCGGGGUCUCUUCAUUGGUUUUUAGAACUAAAGUAAUGAUUAAUAGGGAUAGUUGGGGGCAUUAGUAUUUAAUUGUCAGAGGUGAAAUUCUUGGAUUUAUGAAAGACUAACUUCUGCGAAAGCAUUUGCCAAGGAUGUUUUCA